UAUUAAUUUUUGAGAGCUUUAUUCAGUCUAUUCCGGAACAUUGUUAUAUGGUAGUUUAUCUUAGAUAUCCUAAGUUUUAUUGAGAGGUUUACUCACUUGUAUGUGAGUAUAUUUUGGGAGAGUGAGUGCAAAUAAUUGUACACCAGUGAGGUUGCUUUUUACAUUUUUGUUAUUGGGUAGUUAGGGCAUAAAUCAUUAGGUGUAUUGUGAAAGUUGUUUAGUAGAUUCAUUUUUUAAGAAAGGUAGAAUUAUUAUUCAAACUAUGUAAAUAAUUUUGGUUUCCAACUUUACUUUAUUGUUUUGUUACAAAUUGUUUCAAAGUUUCGUUCAAUGAAGUGUUGUAACAACCCAUUUCAUAUAAAAAUGCAACACAUGCAAACCAAUGUGCAAUUUCAUGCACAUGAUUCCUUAAUUUACACAAUUUAUUGACUAAUUAUUGAUGAGUU
rnacentral:lncRNA from 1 species